rnacentral:rRNA from 1 species
AGUGAACGCUGGCGGCAGGCCUAACACAUGCAAGUCGAACGGCAACACGAUGAGGGUUGGCGCUUAGCGGUGGCGUGGGGCGGGCGUGUGAGAUGUACAUCAGACUCCACGAUGGCGGGGGGGAUAUCGUGGAAACAGUUACUCUAAUAGCAUAUAGUACCAACGGCAGAGAGCGGGAGCUCUUGGCAUCUUGCCCUAGUAUGUGAGCCGAUGUCGGAUUAGCUAGUUGGUGGGGUAACGGCCCACCAAGGCGACGAUCCGUAGCUGGUCUGAGAGGAUGAUCAGCCACACUGGAACUGAGACACGGUCCAGACUCCUACGGGAGGCAGCAGUGGGGAAUAUUGCACAAUGGGCGCAAGCCUGAUGCAGCCAUGCCGCGUGGGUGAAGAAGGCCUUCGGGUUGUAAAGCACUUUUAUUGGGAAAGAAAAGCAGAAGGUUAAUACCUCGCCGUUUUGACGGUACCCAAAGAAUAAGCACCGGCUAACUCCGUG